rnacentral:rRNA from 1 species
AACGUAGGUGGCAAGCGUUGUCCGGAUUGACUGGGCGUAAAGCGCACGCAGGCGGAUGCGCGCGUGGGGUGUGAAAUCUGGCCGCUUAACGGCCAGGCGCCAUCCCAUACGGCGCGUCUGGAGUGAUGCAGAGGUCGAUGGAAUUGCCGGUGUAGUGGUGAAAUGCGUAGAGAUCGGCAGGAACACCCAGGGGGAAACCAGUCGACUGGGCAUCUACUGACGCUGAGGUGCGAGAGCGUGGGGAGCGAACCGG